GUAGGUGGCAAGCGUUGUCCGGAAUUAUUGGGCGUAAAGCGCGCGCAGGCGGUCCUUUAAGUCUGAUGUGAAAGCCCACGGCUCAACCGUGGAGGGUCAUUGGAAACUGGGGGACUUGAGUACAGAAGAGGAAAGCGGAAUUCCAAGUGUAGCGGUGAAAUGCGUAGAGAUUUGGAGGAACACCAGUGGCGAAGGCGGCUUUCUGGUCUGUAACUGACGCUGAGGCGCGAAAGCGUGGGGAGCAAACAGGAUUAGAUACCCUGGUAGUCCACGCCGUAAACGAUGAGUGCUAAGUGUUAGGGGGUUUCCCGCCCCCCUUAGUGCUGCAGCCAACGCAUUAAGCACUCCGCCUGGGGAGUACGGCCGCAAGGCUG
rnacentral:rRNA from 1 species